AACGAACGCUGGCGGCAUGCCUAACACAUGCAAGUCGAACGAAGCCUUCGGGCUUAGUGGCGCACGGGUGCGUAACGCGUGGGAAUCUGCCCUUGGGUUCGGAAUAACAGUCAGAAAUGACUGCUAAUACCGGAUAAUGUCUUCGGACCAAAGAUUUAUCGCCCAAGGAUGAGCCCGCGUAGGAUUAGGUAGUUGGUGGGGUAAUGGCCCACCAAGCCGACGAUCCUUAGCUGGUCUGAGAGGAUGAUCAGCCACACUGGGACUGAGACACGGCCCAGACUCCUACGGGAGGCAGCAGUGGGGAAUAUUGGACAAUGGGCGAAAGCCUGAUCCAGCAAUGCCGCGUGAGUGAUGAAGGCCUUAGGGUUGUAAAGCUCUUUUACCAGGGAUGAUAAUGACAGUACCUGGAGAAUAAGCUCCGGCUAACUCCGUGCCAGCAGCCGCAGUAA
rnacentral:rRNA from 1 species